AAAAAACCUGUAUUAGUACUGUCACAAUGGAAAUAGUUUCCUGAUAUCAAAUGUCAUGGAUCGGACCACUUGCGACUUAAAUGAAAAACAAAUGUUGCCAGAAGCAUAAAAAUAUCAAGACACAUAGCAUGGCAGUGCACCAACCUAAUAAAUCAACUGCCUGACAAAAUGUGAAGAAUAGGGUACAAGAACUACCAUAUGAGCCAUUGGAGCAGUAGUUUUAAAAAGGACAACUCAAAUAAAAGGAAAUAAGAGUACAUACUUGGAAUGGAUAAUGAUGGUGUAACAAAAACAUCAAUAAUAGAUUCAAUUUCAGCCCCAUACAGUGAGGGAAAUUCCCUGCUUGCUAGAGAACCAAUCUUUCAAACCACUUAAGUAAUGAAUUUUAUAUUUUAGCCUGCAUGGUCAAAGAGUUUUAUGAGCGCCAUAAAAAUUUCAAUGGCAUUGCAAUAACAUUACCAAAUUAUAUUGGUCUUGCAGACUUCGAACAAAUUCAGAAACCACUUUACUAAUUCAAAUGAAAGGGGAAAAAUGCAUGAUGGGGGUGAAGUUCUUGAGCAGGUUGGCACAUAACAAAUACACCACAUUUUUUUAUGCAUCAAACCUGACACUCACAAGUCACAAAAUACCACUGCAGUCAGAAUUCUCAAAUGUAAUAAAACUGUUCUGAGAAUAUAUUUUUAUGGUAAAUCUAACUAUGGUGUUCCAGUUGUAUCGAUACAAUUAUAUAACUAGUGAAACAAAUACAAUAUCUUAAAUUUGAAGCUGCAAAAUAGAAUAUCAUGAUUGCCAUGAGAUCCGAUCAUGAAAGGUCAAUUAUCAUUAUCUUUUCAUAUGUACUAAGUGGUACUCAAGGUAUGGUGUCACUGUGAUAGCUCACCUAAAAUAAUUUCGUUAAAUAGUCGCAAGCUAACGAAUUUUACAACAUCCUAAAUAAUUCAGUUAAACAUUUACAUGCAAAAGAGUUUCAACCCUUCCCACUUAAUAUUGUUUUACUGGCAGAGUUGGAACUCCACUCCUAAGUAAACAGAAACAACCAAGUUAAACAUUCCACAAAUAUAUCACAUAUUUAUCAAUCUUGUGAAUCUGAAGUUUUGAAACCAACUUUUGGACACUGAAACUUGCAUACUGUAAAAUCUACAGAAGAAAGUCGAAACAAAGCAACAAUAAAUGAUAGAAGAAAGAGAGGCAUAUACCGGAAUCAAAGUAGAUGGCACGUAUCCAACCUUGUGAACCAGCACACCCCGGUGCUUUUUGGUCGUCCCUGGCCACAAAUAUUUUGUCCUCCCUUUAUAGGCUAUCUUCCCUUCGUUUCUGAAAGUUGAUGUAAGGAGACGUCGUGGCUGCCCUGCUCCUGCUAGGACCGUUGCCGCUCCAUGCUCUUCUUUGUAACAAGAUGAUACAAAAGAUAUAUCACUUCGAUUAUUUUUGCCCAAAGCAGUUACCAUAAUAUAUCAGUGUCAACACUACUACAAACAUGAAGGUCUUAAACUACUACAUUCAGAUCUACUGGAGCAAGUAAAUUUUGAAUAAGAUACUUUGUUCAGCUUCAAUGGAUUUGAGGGAGUAGAAAAAUUCAAUGAACAAAAGCUACAACAGGUGUUUCCCUCCUUUUAAGGGUUACAGAUAACAUGCCUACAACAAGCAAAUGUCACUGUCCUUUAGAAAGCAAGCAUGCCUAUUUUUUCUGAUGAAACUGGGCUGUAUAUAUCUCUUAAGAAACUGCAGCACGGAUAUGAAACAUUGCAUGCCUCAAUAAAAGAUGAUGUUCCAUGGAAGCCACCCGGUGAAUCCCAAAAUAUUUACAUCUUGCACAACUCCUUCUGAAGCACACAUAAUUUUUUUUAUGUGCCAACCACCAUAGCUAAGUCUUUAUACAAGAGACUUUUUUUUACAGUUCUAUGUAGAUUCUGCUACCAACAAGCCUAUAAGCAUGACGAAGGUAAGAUUGCCAGCUAAGGUAAUGGAUUAACAUUUAUUUGGAAGCAAUGUAAUAUGGAGAACCAUCACCUUAAAAUCAGAUACAUGGAUUUAGAAGUAAGCAAGAAAACUAUCACCCCAAAUUCAGAUACCUGGUUUCAGAAGUAAGCAAGUAUUAACAAAGUCCAACGACAUAACAACGGGGAUUUUGUUUAUACAAAAAGCAGAGGCACCAAACAUCUGUUUGCUCCAUGAAACAAACAUCUCUCGCUUAGCCAUGUACAUGAAACAAACAUACAUGACAUACGUAUGAUAUAGACGCGGGAAUGGGAAUUAGGACCUGAUUCAUCCAUACUGUAGGCGAGCAUGCAUAGCUGCUGCUGGAUGCCCUCCUCGACAAAUGCUGAGCCUUGCAUCACGAUCUUAGGAGGC
rnacentral:lncRNA from 1 species